GCAAGGAAGUUCAGAGAUCAGCUUCUUCUUUAGAAGGAUCUGACCACCUCUAUAGUGUGUUAAAGACAUUUCAGCUCACAUCAUGCAAGCAAACUAAGGAAGGCAUCUACACGCCUCAACUACAGUUGCCCUGUGCCUCAACACUGUCCUCAGAUCACAACCUAACAUCACUUUGGAGAUACUCAGUGCUUUACAUACUUAAAAUUUUAGACACUGCUACUUUGAAACUACCUCACCAGUUUGGUAGAAGACACUAUUCCUAGAAAAACAAGGCGAGGCAUUCCUACCUAAGUGAGCACAAUGGAACUGCUGCAGCAUGAAGUGAAGAAAGUCAUUAAAGGCAUGGAAAGGUGAAUAAAAGACAGUAAACUGUAGGAAAAGGUAAACACAAAAGUGGGCAAAAACUUGAAUUACUCAAAACAAUGGCAAGAGACCCAGACAAGACACGUGUAUAAACAUAAAUGGUUUCAAAUAAUAAAAAUGCAACAAGGUAAAAAAAAGAAACCUAAUAUUCAAGUUAUUACUCCAGUGCCUGCUUAAAUACAACAAUUCUUUUCAAAGGUAAGCACAUGGCUAUGAGUGUGUUAUCACCUGAGGCAAAGUAUGUCGGUGCCAAAUGUUGUUGCCAGUUUAAUUGUUGGCCAUUACAUAACAAUUUUAUAUAUGCCACAAUAUGUUGUAUUUAUUGAAAUAUUAUUUAAGAUUCAAUUAAAUAAUAUAAAAUACACAACUUUGUUAAGAGAUGCUUUGGUGAUUUUGCUUAUUGGUGGUAUUUGAGUGUUUUGAUAGCUCCAACUUUAUUUCAUAUUGUACACUGACAAAAGGACUUGGAGUAGAAGUGUUUCAACAAAUGCAAUUUUCUCUAUAGCACCUGUCUGAGGUAAAAAAAAAAGUAAUUACAGAAGCUGUGUGCAUUUGUUGCUGUAUGUAAUUUUCUUACUUAUAUUUAACUGCAUAUAAAUCUUUAAAAGUUUUCUUUCAUACUGAAUGUUCAUUUAUUUGCAGCCUUGUCACAUUGUGGGUAUCAAUACUGCAGCAUAAAUACAACAUCUUGGAUUCAAAUCGCAUGCCUAAAUGUUGUCUGUGUACAGUUUACACAUACUUCCCUUAUAUGUUACUUACUGUAAAUGUUACUCACUAGGAUCUUAUGGUAAAAUAUCUAUUCCAAAUGCAACAUUUACAAGAAAUAUUUAAUAAACAGUAAGGAGGAAGAGGUUAGGAGCAUGCCCUGAUACAGUGCAUUGCUGCACA